AGUGUGUUUUGGACCUUAGCAACAGUUCCUGGCCUGAUUCCCCCCCCCCCCCCAGCUGACAAAAGUGUCAUUCACAUGUGCUCCUAUCUUAAGCAGAAUGGAUCUCCUUUUCUGCAUACAGCUGAUGUCAAGUAAGUUGGGGAGAGGAAGUUACGAUUAAGGAAAUAGUGUCACACUUGUGAAUAAGUAGUGAUUUUGAGUAUGAGACAGUUAUAGAUGAUUAAAUCUAGGUAACUGUUCUAGGAAACUGUUCUAGCAUACUAGAACUAGGGUUACCAAGAACUAGGUCAAUCGAGGUAACUGUUACUUAACAAGGUAACUGAUACAGAAUACCAGACAUUAUUUCUAAAUAUGCCUCUAGAUACAAAAAUAAGUACAGGUUGAGUCUCCCUUGUCCAGAAUUCUAAAAUCCAUAAAAUCCCAAAAACCAAUAGUUCAAUGUACAGAAGGUUUGUUUCAUGCACAAAUAUUGUGUAUAAAGUUACCUUCUGUCUGUGUGUAUAAAGUGUAUAUGAAAUAUAAAUGAAUUUCAUGUGUAGACUUGGUUCCCACCUCCAAGAUAUUUCAUUAUGUAUAUACAAAUAUUCCAAAAUCUAAAAAACUCCAAAAUUCCAAACACUUCUGGUCCUAAGCAUUUCAGGUAAGAGAUACAAAUAUUAUGCAAAUCAGUGCCCUUUUUUGGUGCUUUGUUUACAAACCCUAUAUGGGAAUGCUGUCAAAAAGCAAAGCUUGAGCUCAAGGGAUUUGAAAACUGCUUCACAUACUUUUGGAUCCAGGGGGUUAGCAAUGCCAAGACACAUCUGGUGAACUGGUGUUUUUUUGGUAUUGCUUCUGUGAUAUAAUUGUACGUACAGUAGUUACCAUUGAAAAGUAUCUGUCAGUAUAGCACAGGUGUACUGGAUUACCCAAUGGCCCUAAAAUAUACUUUUCUGUCCCAGAAAUGAACCCUCAAACCUGAAUCUUGGGGGGGCCAUAGGCUGAAUGCUGGGAAUCAUUAUGUUCCUGUGAAAACAACAUUACAUCUCCCCUCAGUGGUGGUUUCCUAGUUUCCCACAUCAAAAAGCUUCACAUGUCUAGCAACUCUUUAAAUGUUUAUUUCUGACACAAGGAUUUUUUUAAAAAAAAGUUUGUGUAUGUAUGUGUGUAAUUUAAUAAUACAAUUUAAUCUACAGGUGAUCGUAACACCUUCAAAACCAUUUAACUUCUCUUUAAUGGAACUUCUUCCAGGUCCAUUGUUGCCAGCAGAUCCUACUGUGUGUUAAAACAAGUAGGACCAAGGGAAGAAAAGAAUGGUGAACAUUUUGUGCCAUGCUGGAGUUAAAAACAUAAAAGGCAGCUGUGAUGUGCCACAAUGAAAUUACGUCUUUGGCCUGACCAUUUUCUGAUCACCACCACAACCACCACCACCAUCACCUCAUCUUUCUCUUUUGAUGAUGAUUAUGAUGGGAACCAUCAAAUAUGAUAAGAAAAGUGGAGCCUGCUGAAAGAAAGUCAUCCUUGGGUGCAUUUUGGAAGAAGUCACCAGGGAUUCAAGGUGGCACAUCAACACAGCUGAAAUAUGGAUCAACACAGCAGAAAUGGUCACUGGUGGCUCCUAUAUCAUUGGUGCAUUUUGUCUUGCUAAUAAAACUUAAAUAUUGUUUUCACGUCCUGGAGUACCCACAUGGCCAAAAUUUCCCUCCAGUACCACCUGAACUGAAAACAGCCACAUCUUGACAAAAUGCAGGCUUGUGACUAACAUCACCAUAUUUUUUUAAUCUCCUGUAUAAUUUUUAUUGUCUUUGCCUGAUUAAGAAGCCAGUGGAAUUUUGAAAGCUUGCAA